rnacentral:rRNA from 1 species
GAUAGAGGAUUUUUCCCUGKAUGGUAUUUGUUWAAWUUUUUUUCGCCUAAGGAUGGGUCWCCGGCCGAUUAGGUAGUUGGUGAGGUAUGGCUUACCAAGCCGWUWUCKGUACGGGUUGUGAGAGCAAGAGCCCGGAGAAGGAACCUGAGACARGGUUCCAGGCCCUACGGGGCGCAGCAGGCGCGAAACCUCCGCAAUGUGAGAAAUCGCGAYGGGGGGAUCCCAAGUGCCAUUCUAWCGGGAUGGCUUCCCUUAAGYUAAAGAGCUUUUGGAAUAAAAGCUGGACAAGACCGGUGCCARCGCCGCGGUAACACCGGCAGCUCUAGUGGUAGCUGUUUUUAUUGGGCCUAAAGCGUUCGUAGCCGGUUURAUAAGUCUUUGGUGAAAUCYURYAGCUUAACUGUGGGAAUUGCUGARGAUACURUCAGGCUUGAGRUCGGGAGAGGUUAGMGGUACUCCCRGGGUAGGGGUGAAAUCCUGUAAUCCUGGGAGGACCACCUGAGGGGAAGGCGKCUAACURGAACGAAYCUGACGGUGAGGRACGAAAGCUAGGGGCGCGAACCG